AGCUGCCAUUUUAAAAUAUGUGUUUCAAUUCGAAAAAUAUGCAAAAUAUCUGCGACGGAUAUUUUCGUUUCAAAUCAGUAAAAAUAUGUGAGAAACGUUUGAAAAAUAUGCCAGUUUCAUGAGAUAUUCCUAUAAAUUUGCGAAUUCCGUAAAAUUCCGAGAUUUGAAACGCAAAAUCUGAUCAGUGAAAUAGAUAAAAAAUCUUUUGCUGUUAAGGGAAAAUCUGUGAAUAUAGUAACCCUGGCACUCACUACUCAAACAGGAUUAUGUUUAUAUGUAUGUGGACUACCUGUGAAGCUCUCAACGUGUGAGCAUAUUGCUUCGCGAAGAAAUUUUGUGUAUUUCUCGGGAUAGAACGAUUUUUCUCGUACUGGAGUGAAUCAGUGUAGCGACGCCGUGAAACUAUCAUCGGGAAUCUAUAUAAAUAAAAAUGAACAAUACAUGUAAAAAAAUCACUAUCGAAAAGAUUUAAAUACGAAAUAAAACAAUAAUCAAACAAUACACGGGCAAGACGGGUUAUCACUGGCCUGAGUGUAGUGGAUUAUUCUAAAACUGAACACCAAUGUCCAAAAACUACAUUUGACUCCUCGACGACAAUUUUUUACAAUAUUCUACAACGAUUUAGCUGUUUUGAAGAUGAAGUGUUCGGAAGUAAUUCAUUCUAUAUCAACCGAUCUGGUGAAUUCUUUCUUCAAACGAAAUCCUUCGGACAUCAGGUCACAGUACUAUUUUUACCUUGACGCGCAUUGUUUCGUGGAGCUUACCAUGUUGGCACUCUCCUGGAUUAAUUUUCGAGAGCGAAACGAACAAAGCAGGUGUAUCAGCAGCCGAUGAAUGCAAUAUUCCAAUAGAAAAGGAAUAAUUAUGUUACAAGAAGAACAAUAUAGGUUUCAUUCAAAUCAUAUUUUUAUUUAUUGUAUUAGCAGAAGCCAAUA